rnacentral:lncRNA from 1 species
CCAUUCUUCAUGUGCUGAGGUCCUAGGGUUCUGAGGGGUUCUCAUGCAAGCCAAGGAGUUCAACUCACUAGAAUUCUCUGGACAUGGGGGCAGGUUUUUGGAGGCAACUGGAAGUGGAGGAAAAUGGUUGUCAACUCAAACUGCUCCCAAAUAGCAAUGAUGCUACCAGAAAAGAUGUUCAUUCUUCCUCUGGAAGGUAUGGGCGGAGAUCUGAGGUCUGGAGGGGCCACAGAAUUUCUGCUGCCAUAAGUGGAGAGCCUAGAGCUGCCUUUAAGGAGGGGAUGGGAAAGACCGUCAAUAUGGUGUCUGAGGAUGAAACUGACAUGGAAGAGAAUCAGCCCCUGGUGUCCGUAUUGGAACUGCUAGACCAAGCAAGCCUUGCCUGAGGCCAGUGUCACCUUGUGGACAUGGUACUGAAGAAGGAAUUCACAGGGCCUGGACUCCAUCUUAGGCCUGUUCAUGCUGAUCAUGCUCAGCCACCUUUCCAAUGGACUCUGAACUCUGUGUUUAGUGCCUGUGAAAACAACAACAGAAGGAUAAGACCCCCCUCCAGACAGGGGAACCUUGAAGAUCGUAUCUAGGUUACUCAUCGUCUAAGAGAAAACAUACCCUAAUCACCCCUUCCUCUAGACAGGCCAUAAAUUCUUCUGUAUCAAUUG